UUGGCUGUCCCACAGUCUGGGCUCUGCGAGCCGGAUGCAAACCAGGCAGCACAAACGUCUGGUGCUGAAUCCCAAGAGGGCCCCUCCGGGGGCGCCAUCACAUGGGAACAUGACCCUCCACGCUGUGCACCCAACAGGGACCAGGCAUCUGGAGGAUGGUGAUGGUACGAGAAGCAGGGAGCUGGGCUCUCUGCUCAAUCCUGGCUCUUGUCUGGGAGCGCUGUCCCAGGCCUGGUGAUAUCAGGAGGUGACAGGUGCCAGCACUUCAAGCAGCUGCUACCAAUCAAUACGACAUACCACGAAGAAUGGGCCGUAUCUGCCACCUGCGUGGGGUUUCCUCUGGUACCAUCAGGAAUAUCACAUACCUGUUUCUCAAAGGCGGUGGGGACCAAGCGUCGCAACUCAGAAAGGCUGCUGUUGAUGCGGUCUCGGCGCCGCUUCUCUAUGAUCUAAAACACAAUGACAGGAAUUUACUCGUGGGCACUUCGCCAGUUUCCAACGUGCUUUGAGGGACAUGGAUUCAUAUCUUCCUUCACAAUAUUUUUGUGAGGGAGAGAAAUCUGUUCUUACUUAAUGGAGGAGGAAAUCGAGGCUCAGAGAGGGGCAAUGACUUGCUUAAGGUCACACAGUAAAGAAGUGCAAAGCUGGGAGCGGAACUCCAAUCUCUUGUCUUGGUCUGCAGGGGUGAUGUUCAAAAUGCAAAACGGCAGGUACAACAGGAGACCGGCCCAUUAGAACAGGGACACCAGCCACAGCUCCUGCAGGCCAAGGUUACCCCUUCAGUUGCUGGGUGGUGAAGAGGCAUUGCUUCCAGCUGGGGAGGCCUCUCAUUCACACAACCUCAUUCCCACCUCACCCUACUGGUAGCGGAAUACUGAUAGCAGGGCAGACAUUAUGACCCCUGUUUUACAGAUAAAGAUGAGGGCUGGAAGGAAUGGUUUGCCUAAGUGAGGGGCAGGGCUGGUCUCUGCCACAUUCCCGGUCUUUGGACCCCCAGGACAGAAGCACAGCUACAUCCUGGGGACAAAGGGCAGGGGGCUGGCAUGAGGCAGCAGAGAGCCAGCCAGGGAGCCUCCUUCUUCUGUUCCCCUCCCCCACCCCUCAGCACCCUGAGAGGAAAUGAAAGUUCUGGGCUUGGAGAGAAGAGGGGGAAGGCUGGAAUAAACAGUAAGGGCUAACUGUGA